AUGAUUAACGCGCUCUCGGGCGCCCAGCAGUCCCGCCGAGGCUCCCCCGGGGGUGGGGGCGGUCACAGCUGUUCCACCGCCCGCUCCCAACCUCGCUGCCACCCCCGUACCUGCCGGCCCCCCGGGGCUCCCCGCGGCCGCCAGCUGUCGGAAGCGGCGCAGGUGGAGAUGGAAGAUGCUCCGGGAGGGCGGAGGUUUAAAGGGCCCGAAUUCCACCCCCCGAGGCCUCUGGCCCGGCGAGGGACUGCGGGGGCAGGGUGGAGGGGGCGCCGAAGGGGCCUCGGUCUUUCUCUCCCUGGUGCCUCAUCCGACCGGGGUGCUGGCUGGAGUGGAGGGGUUAAGGGUGGGAAGAACGAGCUGGGAAAGCGAAAAGAGGGGUUCUUUGGGAGGCAAGCCCGGGAGAGGUGUCGGGCCAGGGGAGAGUCCAUGGGAGCCGCCAGGGCAUCGCUUCCCACCCCGGCAGAGCUGAUGUGGGAGGAGGGGGCACCUGCAGUCGCCGCGGCCCGCGCAGGGGAUGCCGCGGGCUGGCUCUGGGGAUCGCCCCCCUCCCAGUGGCAGCCUCAGCCUCACCGUCGCGUCCUCCGCGGAUUUCUAGGCGCCCACGGGAUCCGUGUGGUUAGUGCCGCCUCUGCGUCCCGGGUGGCCCUGGGUCCCGGCACCUGCCGGCCGCCAGCUAGCGACUCUGGCUGCAGCGGCUCUGAGUCCCCGCAGGGGCGCGGGCCCUGCCGGCAGUGGUCCCGCCCCGGUUCUGAGAGGCCGCCCCUCCAGCCUGCCGUAGCCCCGCCUGCUGCUGCUGCGGCGGGGCUGGCGCUCCCCCCUCCCUCGGGCGAGGUACCGCCUCCGCGCCAGCCGCGGCAGCCGGAGCCAGACUGGGCACCGCAGUGCAGGGACCGCGUUCCCGCCGCCGCACGGAUCCCCGUCACUGCGGGACCGAGGCCUCAGAGACCCCACCCUUUCCAUUCUUCAGGAAUAAGGCGUCCUGCAAGUGCCAUCCGCACUGCCGCGACCCCAGCUAUCCAAUGGGACGGCAUCCCAUUCCCCAGCCCACCCCACCCCCUGCCAUGGGUGGCUUCCCAUCGCUGCAGAGACCCUCCCUCCUGA
rnacentral:lncRNA from 1 species